AGUACAGCCGAAAGAUUUUAUAAGUUCAUUAUUUUCUAAUGUUUUUGCACUGAAUUAUUUCAGUGAAACAUAUUGUUUUCGAUCCGGUGCGUGAUCAUUGAAUUACUUGAGUGAUUUUCAUUGUUUUUCAGGGUUUCUUCAUUGGGGUAACGUUGUUUUCUCAUUUAUAUUUCAUUUUUUUUACUUAAUUAUAUUUUUCUCCUUGUGAAGGUGAGGAAGCCAGGGCGGCCAUGCAAGUUCAGGCCGCUCGAUGUCCAGACCCAGGAGGUUACCGAGGCAGGCAUGACCACAAAGGUCGCCGAAGGAUCCACCUGGU
rnacentral:lncRNA from 1 species